CUGGAAACGGUGGCUAAUACCGGAUAAGCCUUUGGGUAAAAGAUUUAUUGCCCCAAGAGGAGCUCGCGUCUGAUUAGCUAGUUGGUGAGGUAAAAGCUCACCAAGGCAGCGAUCAGUAGCUGGUCUGAGAGGACGAUCAGCCACACUGGGACUGAGACACGGGCCCAGACUCCUACGGGAGGCAGCAGUGGGGAAUUUUCCGCAAUGGGCGAAAGCUUGACGGAGCAAGACCGCGUGAGGGAGGAAGGCUCUUGGGUUGUAAACCUCUUUUCUCAGGGAAGAAGCUCUGACGGUACCUGAGGAAUCAGCCUCGGCUAACCCCGUGCCAGCAGCCGCGGUAAUACGGAGGAGGCAAGCGUUAUCCGGAAUUAUUGGGCGUAAAGCGUCCGCAGGUGGCGAUUCAAGUCUGCUGUCAAAGCACGGGGCUUAACUCCAGUUAGGCAGUGGAAACUGAAUAGCUAGAGUGCCGUAGGGGUAGAGGGAAUUCCCGGUGUAGCGGUGAAAUGCGUAGAGAUCGGGAAGAACAUCGGUGGCGAAAGCGCUCUACUGGACGGCAACUGACACUCAGGGACGAAAGCUAGGGGAGCGAAUGGGAUUAGAUACCCCAGUAGUCCUAGCUGUAACCGAUGGAUACUAAGUGUACCUUGUAUCGACCCGAGCUGUGCCGAAGACUACGCGUUAAGUAUCCCGCCUGGGGAGUACGCCACGCAAGUGUGAAAGUCGACGGAAUUGACGGGGGCCCGCACAAGCGGCUGGAGUAUGUGGUUUAAUUCGAUGCAACGCGAAGAACCUUACCAGGGCUUGACAUGUCCGGAAUCCCGGUGAAAUCUGGGAGUGCCUUCGGGAGCCGGAACACAGGUGGUGCAUGGCUGUCGUCAGCUCGUGUCGUGAGAUGUUGGGUUAAGUCCCGCAACGAGCGCAACCCUCGUCUUUAGUUGCCAGCAUUAAGUUGGGCACUUUAGAGAGACUGCCGGUGACAAACCGGAGGAAGGUGGGGAUGACGUCAAGUCAGCAUGCCCCUUACGCUCUGGGCGACACACGUACUACAAUGGUCGGGACAGAGGGCAGCGAACCUGCGAAGGCAAGCUAAUCCCAGCAAACUCGGCCUCAGUUCAGAUCGCAGGCUGCAACUCGCCUGCGUGAAGGAGGAAUCGCUAGUAAUCGCCGGUCAGA
rnacentral:rRNA from 1 species